rnacentral:tRNA from 1 species
AGCGGUGUCGAGAAAUGGUUAUCUCAUUUGGCUCAUCCCCAAAAGAUUGCAGGUUCGAAUCCUGCCACCGCCC